rnacentral:misc_RNA from 1 species
UAGAGUUUUCUAACUCCCAAACCCAUGUGAACUUACCUUUGUUGCCUCGGCGGAGCCUACCCGGUACCUACCCUGUAGCGCCCCGCCGGUGGACUUCUAAACUAUUGUUAUUUUAAUGAUAUCUGAGAGUCUUAUUUAAUAAGUCA